UGAGUUGUAGUUUAAUUGGAAAAACACCAUUUUUUGGUAAUGGCUCAUACUAGUUCGAGUCUGGUCAACUCAG
rnacentral:tRNA from 1 species